rnacentral:misc_RNA from 1 species
GACGUCGACCGUGAAGGCGAUGGUGAGGGCCAAGGGCUCGCAGCGGACGAUCCUCGUGACGGAUGCGAUCGCCGCCGCGGGCUGCGGUCCCGGCCGGUAUAGGAUCGGCGCCGUCGACUGCGAGCUUGGCGAGGACGGCCGCGUGUCGUUGCCCGGGACGCCCUAUCUCGCGGGAUCGAGCCUGACGAUGGAUCGCGCGAUCGCCAACGCGUGCAGGUUCACCGGGCUGCCGCUCGAGGAGGUGAUGCCGAUGGCCUCGACGAAUGCGGCGAGCGUUGUCGGAAUGACGACAGCCGGCAAGGUGAUGGCUGACUGGGACCCUAACGCCUGCGAUCUCCAGGUUCGCAGCGUCACACCAUGACCCUCGCGCCGCUCGACUGGGGCGUUCUCGUCUUUUAUC